rnacentral:rRNA from 1 species
AACGAACGCUGGCGGCAUGCCUAACACAUGCAAGUCGAACGAGACCUUCGGGUCUAGUGGCGCACGGGUGCGUAACGCGUGGGAACCUGCCCUUAGGUUCGGAAUAACUCCCCGAAAGGGGUGCUAAUACCGGAUAAUGUUUUCGGACCAAAGAUUUAUCGCCUUUGUAUGGGCCCGCGUUGGAUUAGCCAGUUGGUAGGGUAAAAGACUACCAAGGCGACGAGCCAUAUCUCGUUUAAGAGGAUGAUCAGCCACACUGGAACUGGGACACGACCCAGACUGCAACGGAAGGCAGCAGUGAGGAAUAGUGGACAAUGAGCGAAAGCAUGAUCCAGCAAUGCCGCGUGAGGGAUGAAGGCCUUAGAGUUGAAAAGCUAUUUUACCCGCGAUGAUAAUGACAGAACCGGGGGAAUAAGCUCCGGCUAAAUCCGU